rnacentral:rRNA from 1 species
AGAAUCAACGCUGGCGGCGUGCCUAACACAUGCAAGUCGAACGAGAAAGUGGAGCAAUCCAUUAGUAAAGUGGCGCACGGGUGAGUAACACGUGACUAACCUACCCUUGAGUGGGGGAUAACCUAGAGAAAUCUGGGCUAAUACCGCAUAAUACCUUCGGGUCAAAGGAGCAAUUCGCUUAAGGAGGGGUCGCGGCCGAUUAGUUAGUUGGCGGGGUAAUGGCCCACCAAGACUAUGAUCGGUAUCCGGCCUGAGAGGGCGCACGGACACACUGGAACUGAAACACGGUCCAGACUCCUACGGGAGGCAGCAGUGGGGAAUUUUGCGCAAUGGGGGAAACCCUGACGCAGCAACGCCGCGUGGAGGAUGAAGCCCCUUGGGGCGUAAACUCCUUUCGAUCGGGACGAUAAUGACGGUACCGAGAGAAGAAGCCCCGGCUAACUUCGCGCCAGCAGCCGC